rnacentral:rRNA from 1 species
UACGUAGGGGGCAAGCGUUGUCCGGAUUUACUGGGCGUAAAGGGCGCGUAGGCGGUCAGCACAAGUCAGUUGUGAAAUCUCCGGGCUUAACUCGGAAAGGUCAACUGAUACUGUGCGACUAGAGUGCAGAAGGGGCAACUGGAAUUCUCGGUGUAGCGGUGAAAUGCGUAGAUAUCGAGAGGAACACCUGCGGCGAAGGCGGGUUGCUGGGCUGACACUGACGCUGAUGCGCGAAAGCCAGGGGAGCGAUCGGG